CACAUCUAUAUCGAUGAUGAAUAUUUUAAUAAUUCGCGUUGACGCGAAUGUUCUAAUCAUUCGCGUUGACUGCGAAACGAGAACGUUAGGAACGUUCUAAUAAUCAUUAUGAACCAUCAUGUCAGAACAACCGCAGGCUAAAUCUGAUACCACCACCAACCAAAAGAAGAAUCUGAUACCAAAGAAAUGGUGCAUGUAUUUGUUAAUUUUGUUUAAACCCAUUGCCAAUGCUAGAUAUCUUAGCCCUAAAAAGCCCCUAUAGCUAGUAGAAAGUGGGAAUCUCCGGACCAAGUUGCAGAUAUUAUUUUCUGUUGGCCAUGAGUGUUGUGGAUAAUUACUUCUUGGGGGACCUCUUCAUUUUGUUUGCUUCCUAAACCCGCCUCACAACACAAAGCACAAAAAGCAACCAAUGCAUGACGCUUCUGUUUUUUGUUCGGCCGGCAUGCAUGACACUUCAUAGUCCCGCAAUAAAUAAAUAAAAAAAGAAACACCAAAAACAGAUGUCACUUCAGUUGCUUGGUACCUUCUACUCUCUAGCCCCCCCUCCUAAUGGUAACUUCAAAAAAUUUACUUUUUUUUUUUUGGGGUAAUCUCAAAUUUACUUUCACUUCUUUAACAUGAUAGCUUUUUUCGAGUUUAAAUUUCCAGUUCCAUUUUUCCUUAAUUGACCCAUUAAUAUCUCUAAAGUUGUUGCACCCACCAAAUUUAAGUAGAAAGAAAAAACAUAAAUGGCAAUGACAUAGAAAGCAGAGAUUGUAAGCAACUGACCUGGCAGCACUAGGACACGCGUCACAAAAUGAGAACUGUAGCACGAACAACACGUUAAGCAACAAGUGAGGUUAUCAAGCUGUUGAAACAGAAGAGUCAAGAGGAGAACGCGAAAAGAGGGAGAUAAGAGAUUCGCUUUGGCUUGAGAGUCACGAGCGGUGGCCGACAUAUCAAAAAAAAAAAAAAAAAAAAAAAAAAAAAGAGAGUAGGGAGAGAGAUGAAAACGGUUACACCACUUUUUUUGCAUGAGAUCCAUGUGUUGCUGCUUACAAGUGCGAAGAAACCAACAAAAUUGCUUCAUCAAAUUCACACCUCAUCGCCCUAAUUUCCGGUUUUUGAUCAAAUUGGGGGUUUUGGAUCUUACCCACCAAACCCUAUCCCUUUCCUUAUCCAAGCAAACAGAAACGUUUUCCAAACGUUUGAUUAGUCUAAAUUUUAAAUUCACUUCUUAUAGUUAA
rnacentral:lncRNA from 1 species